rnacentral:rRNA from 1 species
UGUAGUCUCAACGAUGAUGCAUACAUGUCAACUAUGGGUGUUGGCUCCAACAAUUCGCAUUGGUCUCAAACCACUGACAUGCACUUCGAUGACCAUGAGUUCAAGGUGGACGAGGAUGGUGAGGGCAUUGUCGACGCACAGAAAGGAAGAGCGGGCAAUUACACCAACGCCGAAGACAUCUUACUAUGCGAUACUUGGUUGCAAGUGUCGAGGGAUCCAUCCGUUGGAGGUGAUCCUAUUGGAACCUGA